GAAUCGUAUCGUAGAUUUCAAACACCCCCAAGGCCUGGCCUGGCCUGGGGAUAGGUAAUUUAGGGUUUAUAGAUUCUUCUUCUUGUUCUUCAUGUCUUGCAAUUCCAGAGUCUGUUUUGAUUUCAAGAUUCGUUGAUUAUUAUUAGUCCCGCUGAUUCGGCUUGGGUUUUGAUUAGAGAUUGUGAGGCUGAUUUAACAGAAAAAUUUCCAUAUACCGAAAUCUUUUACUUCAAUGUCGUUGGCAGGCCCCGAAGAUCUCUAUCUCUCUUGUAUUUUUCUCCAAUAACGUAUGUUCAUAUUUUUUUAUAAUAUCAUCACAAAGAUUGGUGUCAAGUCAUUCUGUUAUUAGUCAGCUCAGCUGAACAAAGUUUAGGCAAUAACAUGCUACCAAUACAAGUCAGUCGGUUGUUUUACCAUUUCCAAAGAUGAAUCUCUUGAUGUUUGUAUCGGUUCGUGCUUUACUAUAAGGCGUUCCGUCUAACUCUGUUGAGCGCUUUUAGUAGUAAAAAUGUUGAGAAGUUGGUUUUGAAGGUGCGUGUGAAAGAGUAAUUGUUUUAUUGUGAUAUCCCACUAGGUUUAUAUGUAAUCUGUGGCAGUGGCAGGUGAGAAUGUUGAACUGGAGAAGGAAGAACUUCCCCCUCCUCAUAUGACUCGGGUUUCCGAAGCUGAGAUAAAAAAGGGUAAUUAAUUUUAAAAACUCUACGUACCUUCUUAUGCUUUGUUUAAGUGUAUGAUAACCAACAACACAUAUCUUCUUUGUCCCAUUAUUUCUUUGCUUUUUUGGGGGGAUAAAAUGUGUGGAAGUCUAACAACUUUUUUAUUGAGGCCAAACAUAUACUGAAUACUUACCGACGUAUGUAUCUUGUUUCAUAUCAUUUGACGGAAAAGAAGCCAGGUAGCAAAAAAUCGAAAAUGCUCGUUUGAUGAGGUGUGAACAUGUUUGUUAUUGGUUAAAGCUGUUGUCUUUUCAAUAAAACUAAGGGCAUUUUCGGCAUCUGGUUUGUUUUUGCACUUGUUGAAACCUGAUUCAUACUUGGUUGAGGACUUGAGGUAGUUAAAAAUUAAACAUAUAUAUGGGUAGCCUUAGUGAUAAGAGUUGAAUACUUUCACAUAUUCUAUCUCUUUGUUAUUUUUUCUUUUUAUUUUGUGAAUAUUUCUUUCCGGGAAUAUUUUUGACAGACAGAGAGAGAUAAAGGAGUAGUUGAGUGAAGUUAAAUCAACAACCCCAUUGAAAAAGAUGAAAUUGUUAUCAUAAAAUACAAGAUAUUUUUUAUGGAUUACUAGC
rnacentral:lncRNA from 1 species